rnacentral:rRNA from 1 species
CCUACGGGGGGCAGCAGUGGGGAAUAUUGGACAAUGGGGGGAACCCUGAUCCAGCCAUGCCGCGUGUGUGAAGAAGGCCCUCGGGUUGUAAAGCACUUUCAGUGAGGAAGAACGCCUGGUGGUUAAUACCCAUCAGGAAAGACAUCACUCACAGAAGAAGCACCGGCUAACUCCGUGCCAGCAGCCGCGGUAAUACGGAGGGUGCGAGCGUUAAUCGGAAUUACUGGGCGUAAAGCGCGCGUAGGUGGCUUGAUAAGCCGGUUGUGAAAGCCCCGGGCUCAACCGGGGAACGGCAUCCGGAACUGUCAAGCUAGAGUGCAGGAGAGGAAGGUAGAAUUCCCGGUGUAGCGGUGAAAUGCGUAGAGAUCGGGAGGAAUACCAGUGGCGAAGGCGGCCUUCUGGACUGACACUGACACUGAGGUGCGAAAGCGUGGGUAGCAAACAGGAUUAGAUACCCGAGUAGUC